UUCUUUGUGAUUAGAUAUAAAAUUUUCAUGAGGUUCUUGAAGCAAGCUGGAGGUUCUUUAUGGAGUCUACUCCAUGUUAUGAAAUAAAUCCAUUAUGUAGCCAUUUUUAUUAAUCUUUUUCCAUUUUAUAUUAGUUGUGCAUAUCGUAGUCUCACAUAAUGCAAUUCAAUGCAUUUGGCAGAUAUACAUUUGAAUUAUAUUUGAUUCUGUUGGAAGAUAAGGAGGAGAUGGGCUCUAGAUAAAGGCUAUCAACAAGCAAUUAUUUAUCAAAACUAAUCUGUAAAUUAGUAUUUAAAUAUUGUAAAAUCUAUUCCUAAAAAAUAGGAGAUAAGUAGGAGUUAUUCUUGGAGAUUAUUUAGGAGAUUUAUUGUAUAUAUUUCCUUAAACUAGUGAAGAGAUACACGGUGGAAUUAGUUUCAUUCCAUACGGAUUUCAGCAUGGUAUCAGAGCCUGGUACUUGUGCCUUCUGAGCGCUGGAACUCUAGUUCAUACGCUUCCGAUCGCGACAUGGCAGAAAAUCCGUCAGCCAGCACAGCUUCGAAUCUCCUUCUGGCCACAACGAGGACCACCCAAGUUCCAACCUACCCGAUGGCAACUGAGAGUCACUCGCUUCAUAUCACCCAACACAAAUUGGAUGGAACCAACUUUAGAGAGUGGUUCCAAUCCGUGUUGUUGGUCAUCCGUGGAAGGGGAUGCGAAGGCUACCUGACAGGGGAUAUCCCAAAGCCCAGCUCUGAUGCAGCCAAUUUUGGUGUGUGGGAGGCUGAGAAUGCCAUCAUCAUGGCAUGACUGAUUAAUUCCAUGGAGCCUAGCAUCGGACGGACUUAUUUGUUCUACAAAUCAGCAUGCGAAAUAUGGCAAGCAGUUCAGGAGACUUACUCUGACUUAGAGAACACCGCCCAAAGCUUCCAAAUCCGAUCAAAUAUUCGAACCACCAGGCAAGGCUCUAAUUCAGUUACAACAUACUUUAACAUUCUAACAACCUUAUGGCAGGAGAUGGAUCUCUUUUAUGAGAUCAGGUGGGAAUGUUCAGAGAAUGGCAGAAAGUAUAGCAAGAUGGUGGAGAAAGAGCGAGUCUUCGAUUUCCUUCAUGGCUUGAAUCCUGAAUUGGAUAAAGUAAGAGGAAGAUUGCUCGGGACAAAGCCGUUUCCAUCCAUGCGUGAGGCCUUUGCUGAAGUAAGGCGUGAAGAAAGCAGGAGGAAGGUUAUGUUAUCAGCUUCUGUUCACUCAAACUAUGAGGACCUAUCAUCGAGGAAGAUGAUUGGCAGUGCUGAGGAAAGCAGGGGGCUCUACCAGAUCUCAAGUCCUGAUCAUUCUACUGGAACUAGGUUGUAUCUUUACUACAAACAUGGAACUCAAUAAAAAUGAAUGUUUUAUGGUGUCUAUCUCUAAGGCAUGGGUGAACAAAGUUUUCCAUUUAUUGAGGACAUGAACUUUAUGCAAGUCUAAAUCAAAGGUUGUUGUGGAACUGAAAGGAUCAGUAAUCAUUUUACUCUGGCCAAACAUAUAUCCUGGAGAGACAUUCCACCGUUGUGCUUCUCACAACCAUGUUACAUGAUAUGCCUGCUGGGAUUUAUUUUAGAAGAUUGAUAGUUCUAUUGGUUGAAAUUUCCUUCAAAAAAUCUUAUAUGACCAUCUUUUUACUUAGUUGAAUGGGUUCUUUUCAUAGUGUGUUUCUAUAUAUUAGGAGUUUUAAACUUGAUAUUAGUAAUACUUUGACUUGAAUGUUGCAUCAUUUUAGAAGAUUUCUGCUCUCCUAUCAUAAUAGGAAUUCUACUCAACAUAUCUGAAAUAAAACCACAGUUUUAGUUCAAAUUUGGUUGCUGUUUUCUUUUCUUCAGAUGGCUAUUUUCUUCUGGGCAAGAAAUUGUGUAUGCGUGAGUCUAUGUGGGUUGAUAAGUUGUUUCCUAUUUGCAAGUUAUGGUGUUUGGAAUGAUAAUCAUCAUUCUCUAGUUUUACUAUUCUGUGUUGCAUUGUCUUCUGCAACAAGUGUUGUUUCUUUAAGAAAAGUAUUGGUCCCUCUAAAAAGAAGGGCAAUACUGUCAAGAACCUGUUGGAUAAUAUUUAAUUUUGUUUGAGGGUGAGUCUUAGUAGCAAUGGUAAGAUCUCACUUCUGUGACUAUAUGGUCACAGGUAUGAGUUGUGGAAGCCUCUUUGAAAAGCAAGGAUAAGGUUGCAUAAAAAUAUGACCCUCCCUUGGACCUUGCAAAUUGGGGAGCCUUGUGAACUGGGGAUGUCCUUUGGAUAAAGUUUUUAUAUGAUUAGCUUUGUUGAAAAUUUUCUUGAAAUAUUUUGUUUCUAUUAGGAUUUUUGAUGGAUUUUAUCAUAGACUUUGUGGCUAUAUAUUACUGUGUUAGAUAUGAUUAAUUUCAAAGGAGUUCUAGUUGUUUAGAAAAUUUUAUCAUGUCUAUAGAUAUGACUUUUGUAAUUAAAUUUUGGUUGUGUUAAUGGAUAAAAAUAAAUUAAUUUUUUAAUGGCAUUGAGUUGGUUUUUUCUUCUCCUCUCUUGCUCCUUUUUGUCUCUGCCUUUAAUGUGGAACCGAAAAAGGAAAAGAAGAGGAGUGUAGUAGUAAAAGGAGAUUAGAAGAGGGGGAGGAGAUUACAAGGAGAAGAGAAGGAUGCAGAGACAGAUCUGCAAUAGUAUCAGCGGCAGAAAGAAGAACAAUAGGAAGAGGGAAGAAAGAAAAGAAGGGGCAUGAUUGAAGAAAGGGGGGGGGGGGGGUGUGGGGAUCUAGCUCUUACGAAUUUAGAAUACCGCUUAAAUUGUACUACAGAACUUAUUAAAAAAUAAAACUAAAAUUCAUCUGAAUAAAAUUAAAGAAUCCUAUGGGUGUCCCCAGUGUAGGGGCUGUCUCAUUUCUUCUUGGUUUUUCUCUUCUCUUCUUUUUUCCCCCUUCUUUUUUGCUUCCUUGUCACAUUAAGGAACCUUGAUCUAUUACUUGGUGAUUCCUAGCAGAACUUCCAAUUUCAUUCAUUAAUUUCUUAUACCUAGCCAAUUUUUUAUCUUUGGUUAUUGCUUUUCCUUUUGAAAUACUGGGGAUGUGGAAAUUGGGGACUGGUCAGAAUUCAGAAAUACAGUGCUGCAUUUUAUUGAGAAAAGGAAAAUGUACCUGCUCUGUUCCGUUUCUGUAUAUCAUCACAUCCUGCAUUCUAGAUGAUCAGAUAUUGCAUCUUGGGGUCAGCAGGAUAAUAAGUGAGGGAAGAAGUACUUUACCACUGCUCCAGAUGCUAUAACGUAGAAAUCUGUAGGUAUCUCAUUCUGUAAGAUAAUAUCAACCUUGGGUGGAAAAUAUUCUGCUUUCAUAUCGGACACCUGUGAGGAGAAAAGCCAUGGGAUACUGCUUAGGUGAUAGGAUGAGAUUUCCACCACAAAACUCAAUGAAAAAUUUCCAUAUCGAUGGUAGUUGUUAUAAAACACAUGCUUUAUGGUAGUUGUUACCUCUGGAUGUAUGGACUGUCUAUUACUAUUAGAUACUUCUUCCUAUACUGGACACUGGCAUGAUAUUUUUUGGUAUUGAGUUUCCCUUUGGUUUAUUACACCAAAAUGUUAGUAUCAUUUAAUGCUUGACAUGAUGCUCUAGCCUCCUACUUGUAAUUUGUCAAACAGAAAAAUAGUGCCAUAAGAAAAUAGUACCCUCCUUGCUCUAGCAGUUUCUUAUGUUACUAUUUUCCAAGUAGGAGGCUAGAGCAUCCCCUCCCAACCUUGAAUGUUAGUGUAAUUUGUCUACUUAUAAGGAAGUAGGGCAUGGUGGUAUACAAUUCCAUGCUUAGUUCAUAUUAAGUUUGAGGUACGUACUUCACAUUUUGAAGCUUCAAUGUUAUGUUGUGGAGCUUGUGCUGGCAUUUUGUUUUAAUAUCUAAGUGAAACAUGGGUCAGGUUUAACCUUUUAAUGAAGGAGCCUUGAGUCUUAUGGGGAGGGGAAUUCACAUGCCAAGGAAACACAGUCUCCUGUCAAUGACAUCCAAUUAUUAUUUUUUAUAACUUUUUAUAGUUCUUAAUGCUAUGACAACUAGUAUAAGCUUGGAAGUUGGGUGAUGAUGCAUAAAGUGAAGAGGAGAGAGAAAUUUCCAUACCAGCUGGAUGAUAAGGUCUUCAGAAACUCCUUGGAAGAGGUAUGUCUUCUCCACAAGUCCAUGAAAAAGAUGCUGAGUUAUACUUGAUCUAAUUGCCUUGGGCAGGCCUUCAAGCACUUCUUCUUGCUGUAACUCUGCUGUCUUAAACUUGAGUUGCACAUGUGCCAGCAUUUGCUCUUUUAACCUUUCUGGAAGUCGGUUCUUGCUAGCAUAAUGCAAGACCUCAUUGAUGGUAUCCCUCUGUUAAACCAGGCAUUAGAGAGGAUUAUAUCAAUAGUUUUAUGGGUGAAUUUGUAUGUGUUUUCACUUAAUGUUUUUGUGUUAAAAGUGUAGGAGUUAUCAAUUUUGUAGAAAUGUUGGAUAAGGUUAAAACUUUUCAGAGUGAAACUAGUUGAAAAUCAAAGGUUUAUUCAACCUCUCAAUAGUAUAAACAUUGAGUGGUUUAGCUUAGUAAUUCCUCAGGUGAAACUAUAGAAUAAGAUGCCAUGUGGUGGGAGCAGAUAUCUAUUUAAAUUUUGCACAUAUAAAAAUAGGCCUAUUAUUUCAGUUGAAUCGAACCACUUUCUGUCUGCUUACUACUUAGUAGGCAGGUGCUUUCACAAUUCCAAUUGAAGUGCCCAAGAUUGAUUACAGUCCAAGUCAAAAUACUAAUGAACAAAAAAAAAAAAAAAAAAAUCCAACUACUUUUUUCUCUGGCUGUUGGCUACUUAUAUGUUUACAAAAAGGGCUGAAAGGGAAUUACCAUUGCAAAGGUCUGAACUGCACUGUGGACAACGAGGUUGGUCAUAUUUCCAAUUAAAUAUGCUGUUAGGCCAAUGUUGAAUAGCAUAUAGAAGAUAUUGAAAAUCUUUUCUCCCGUAUUCUCUGCAUGCAAGUCUCCAUAGCCAACUGUUGUAAGGGUGACAAUAGACCAAUAAAUGGAAUAGGUGUAUCCCAGCCAGAUGCUUCUAUUUUCAAAAUGAGAAACGUGAGCUCCAAUCCACGUGUUAGCUGGGGUUUUAUAAUGGGUGGCUAGCCAGAAGUAGAAGCACCCUGCUGAGUGUACUGUAAAUGCUGUGACCUGUGAAAAGUUGAAACAACAGAUUAAGAGGUCUUUAUUCAAUAGUUGAUGUUUAAUAGUCAACAUUUGGAAAACAGUUACACGAGCAGGCAGUUUGAUGAAACUAAUACUUACGCAUAUUAGCUUGAAAGAUCUCGCCCAGAAGUAACUGAAGCGUGUAUCUUUCUCUAACCUGGACAAUAAAGUUUUAGUUAGACGAGAGAUGAACUAUGUAGCUGUUGUUGUCACUUCUGUUUCACAAGCGUGUUGGUGCAUGUCAUUGAAUGUUCCAAUGCCUAUAUUUUCAAGUAACUAUUGAGGUAAUUUUAUUGAAUAACAUGCCAAGGAUGUCUAAGGUUUGAAUUAUAUGCUGGCACACUUAGGUGAGAUUUGGAGCCUUACUUUUUAGGAACUGGGAUGGUGAAGUAAAAUAAGCUUCCAACAUUGAUGAGGAUUAUGAUUCACAUAAGUAAAUUUUUACAGCCUCUUUUCAAAGCAAGAGUAAGGCAAGAGUAAGGCUGCAAUGGCUCUCCCCUGACCUUUGCAAAUUGGAGAGCCUUGUGCCCUGGGAGUACCAGUUUUACUCUAGUUCUUGUUAUUUGUGUGCAGAAUCAUUGCGAGAAUACUGAAAGUAAGCUUUGAAUAAUCAUAUAAAUGAAAGGGUUCUGCUUUGUUCAUGCUGCGAAUAGCGAUUUGUUGUUUGUUGAAGACUCAUGGAGUUACUUGUUAAGAGCCAGAGGAUUUUUUAUCUACUGGUGCUUUCUUUAUCUAGUUUGGAAAUUAUUUUCCUGUUCAGUAACUUGUAAUAGAUCUUGUGAAGCACUAUUCCUAAUCACAUCUGGCUGCAGUUCAAACCUUUCAAUUAUGCUGAAUCUGCUCCUUGAAAUUCUGACUGUGAAACAAUAACGUGGGUUAUGUAUCAUAAUCUUUCAUAGCUUGUUAUAAAUUCUUGUGUAAUAAGUAAUAAACUAAUAACUAAAUUCUUGAGCUGAGAUAAUAUGAUUAUUGAUUCAAAAUUUGAGUUUUAGGUAUUGAUAAUUAAUAUGAGAAAUGAAACAGGAUUAUCAUGGGUAUCAUCUCAACCAUCUCCUGUAAGGAUGGCAUAAUAUGAGUUGUAUUCUGCUUUAUAAGAAAUUCAUUUGCAGAAGAGAGACCAAUCUUAGUUCUGGAUGGAGGUCUUUCUUCAGGUACAGCUUCUACAUAUGCAUUGCAUUCAUGUAGAUGAAAAUUUUCAUCCCCAUGGAGAGCUAAUUGAGUUUCUCGCAGGUGCUAUAGCCAGUUCUUUCAUAUCUGGUAAAUAGAACUUUAAUUUUGUUUCUUUGUAGUAGACUUUGGAAGUAGAUUAUUUUCUCUGAUAAUUAUGAAAUUUGAAAGUGAACCAAUAUUUUAUUGGCAUCCAAUGCUCAUGCCAUUAUGGCUGUUGCAUAUCAAGAUGCAGAGAUGGAGGAUUCGGUGUGAUUUCUUGUAACACUAAAAUUUGCUUCAUAAACUAGGCAUGAGAGAUUUGAAACAGAGCCAUUGCAGGGCUAAAGUGGCAUGAUUUUUAUCUAUAUCCCAAUGGAGAAUUUUUUGUGAUUCUGAUUGCUAGAAUCUAUCUUGAUGUUAUUUUUCUUUACUAGACUGUUGUAAGAUUGAUGGCAAAAAACUUUCAGAUGAAUCAAAGUCACAGAAAUUUAUAAUUUUGAAACUUUCUUUUAACCAACUCAUUUGGGUUUAUAGAGAAGGAAGAAGUAUGGGAUGUGUUUACACGUGCUGAUUUUUAGCUAUUUAUAAUUAUUGAAAGGUUAUGAUCCUCUGUCUGAGAUUGCAUACACAUGCCAAUAGAUAACUGAAUAUGGGUCAUUCCUAUUCACAAAUGAAGAAUUUUGUUUCUUUAAAAUUAAGUUCCUAAUUUGAUUGUUAUUCAGUUUUUUUAGAUAUAUAAAUAAACAAGUGCUGAUAAUUUAUAUCAUUAUUUAGGCGCACAAGGACACUAUUCCUAACAAUAGGAGGCUGAAGCUCUGGUUUAUCAUUUUUAGUUGUAGAAAGUAGGCUGAUGAAUGUAGAAUAAAUGAAAAUAAACCUCUUACUUUCAUAACUAUGCACGGUAUUACACUCCCUAUUAAUAGGGAUGAGAGAAUUAUAAUUUCGGAAAGCAACAAAGAAUGAAAAGAUACACUAUACGCUAUACAAGGAAACAAAAGAUACAACACAAAAUUAAGAAAUCUCUAAAGCUGAACAGCUUUUUAAAUAUGAAAGAUAUGAUCAGGGCUGAUUUAAAAGCUGGUUGUUUAGGAAGGCUGCUGACUUAUCUUAGGAAGGCUGCUGACUUAUCUCAUUCCAUACUUCUUUGGUGCAUAAUUCAACACUCUCCCUCAAGCUGGUGAAUGAAUAUUCAUCAUUCCCAGCUUGCUUGUAAGAUCUUCAAAUUGUUUGAUAGGCAAUCCUUUUGUUAGUAAAUCAGCUAGCUGAUUUUUUGAAGAGACAAAAGGUAUACAAAUCACCUUAGCUUCUAUCUUUUUCUUGAUAAAGUGACGAUCAAUUUCAACAUGUUUAGUACGAUCAUGUUGCACCAGAUUAUGUGAAAGCUAAUUGCUGAUUGAUUGUCACAAAGUAAUUGCAUAGGACCAUUGAUAAAUACCUUUAGAUCAUCCAACACAAUCUUUAACCAAAGUAACUCACACAAGCCAAGUGCCAUUGCUCGAAACUUUGCCUCAGCACUAGACUUGACUACUACACCAUGUCUUUAACUCCUCCAAGACACCAAAUUUCCUCCCAAAAACACACAAUAACCUGUAAUGGACCUUCUAUCCAUAAGGGAGCCUCCAUAAUUAGUAUCAGUGUAGCCUAGGACUUCCAGUUCCUUCCUUGAUCUGAAUAAUAAACCCUUUCUUGGAGUUGCUUUAAGAUAACACAGAAUUCUUCUAACAGCUAGCAUGUGUUAUUCACUAGGAUGAUGCAUGAAUUGACUCACAAGGUUGAUAGUAGAUGUUAUGUCAAGUCGGGUAUGAGAUAGGUAGAUUAAUCUACCUACUAGUGUUUGGUAUCUCCCUCAAUCAACCACUGGACUAUCACUGUGAUCUAACUUCAGGUUAGGUUCCAAAGGUGUGUUGGCUGCCUUGCCACCAAGCAUCUUAGUCUCUUCCAACAAAUCCAUAGUGUAUUUUCUUUGGGAAAGAAAUAUACCUUCCUUAGAGUAGGUAACCUCUAUCCCCAAGAAAUACCCAAGUCUGCCAAGGACCUUGAUGUCAAACACACGGGCCAAAUGCUCCUUCAGUAAUUGCUGUUCACCACAAUCAUUUUUGAUGACAAUUAUAUCAUCUACAUUCACAAGCAAGGUUGUGAGAGUACCUUUCUUAGAAUGUUUGAUAAAUAGAGUGUGAUCCCCUCUGUUUUGCCAAUACCCUAUUUCUUUCAUAACCCUUGAGAACUAAUUAAACCAGGCUCUUAGAGACUGCUUUAGUUCAUAAAGGGCUUUCUUUAAUCUGCAAACAUAACCUGCAUCAAUUCCAUUAGUAAAUGCUGGUGGGGGUUCCAUAAAAACCUCUUCCUCUAGGUCACCAUGUAGGAAGACAUUUUUGACAUCUAGCUACAUCAAUUCCCAGCCAUAACAACUAGCCAAAGAGAGUAGAAUCCUCAUUGUAGUCAUUUUAGCGAUAGGUGCAAAACUUUCCAAAUAAUCUAUGCUGUAAGUUUGAGUGUAACCCUUGGCUACCAAUCAGGUUUGUACCUUUCCAACGUUCCAUCAGUAUUAUAUUUCACAUUGAACACCCAUAUGCACCCAAUUGGUUGAAUCUCCUUUGGUUUAGGCACUAUUCCCUGUAGAAGAUAAAGAAGAAUUCAAAAGAGGAUUGCCAUGAAGACUCCUAAAUUAUAAGAGAUAAGAUUUAUAAAGGUAAGAUUAUCUAGUUCUAAUUAUUCUCCUAAAUUUUAGAGAUAGAUUAUUUGUAUUUUAGAUAACAUAAAUAUCUUGUAAAGUAGAUUAGAUUAGACUCCUACAUCAUGUAGAUAUCUUGUGUAUAUAUUGAUAUCAUCUCUAAGGGAAAUAAUAACGAUUUAUUCUCUCUAGGAUUAAUUUUCCGCAUGGUAUUAGAGCAGAAUUCUCUUCUCUUUUUUUCCCCUGUUAGUCCUAGCCAAUUUCCUCCGAUUCACUAAGGCGUUUCUGUCCGAUUUAUUCCCUUUUAUAGUCGCCGGACUUGAUCAACUUGUGUCAUGGCCGGAGUGAGCAGCCAACCCUCUGAGAUUGUCCCUUUCCAAACCACCGAUUAUGUGAACAUGGAUAACAACAGUCCAUUCACAAUCAUCGGUCAUAAACUGAAUGGCCAGAAUUUCAUUUAGUGGUCACAAUCUGUUAUGAUGUUCAUAUGUGGAAACGGGAAGGAUGAUUACCUCACUGGAGCAGUCAGCAAACUGAAGGAGGAUGAAGCAUAGUACCGGAUCUGGAAGGCCGAAAACAACAUGGUGAUGUCUUGGUUGAUUAACUCGAUGAACAAUGAGAUAGGUGAGAAUUUCUUGUUAUACAAUACAACCCAAGAAAUUUGGGAGGCUGUUAAGGAAGCCUACUCCCACGUUGAGAAUACUUCCGAGUUGUUUGAGAUAGAAAGUGUUCUCAAUGAAUUACAACAAGGUGAGUCCCAAGUCACUCAAUAUUUCAAUUCUUUGAAAAAGUUUUGGCUUCAAUUGGAUAAGUGUGAUACUAUCCAAUGGAAGUGCACUGAAGAUUCAACCAAAUACAAAGAAAUAAUGGAGAAGAAGCGGCUGUAUAAGUUCUUGAUUGGUUUAAAUAAAAACCUAGAUGGUGUGAGAGGUAGGAUUCUUGGCACAAAACCUCUACCAAGCCUCAGGGAGGCAUUUGCUGAGGUUGGCAGAGAAGAAAGUAGGCUGAAACUAAUGUUAAACCCCUCAAAUUCAGGCCUGGAACAUUCUGCCCUAUUUACCCGAGGAGGCAGCCUAUCAAAUCCCAAGCAGAAGAGGCCGUCCUUGGUGUGAUCAUUGCCACAAACCUGGUCACACAAAGGAUACAUGCUGGGAUAUCCAUGGCAAGCCCUUGGAUUGGAAACCAGCACAUGAAAGGAAGAGUAAGGGUAAUUUUACAGCAAUCGAAGAGACAACUUCGGCCUCAAACUCAAGCUUAUUUAGCAAAGAGCAGAUGGAGUGGCUGCAGCAUAAUUUUGGAAAACCCAGCUGCAGGGUUCUACAGUGGCAGCAGGUUCUAUAACCCACAAAGGUAACCCUGUACAUGCUUUUAUUGCUAAUAGUAAGCUAUCUAUCCUAUGGAUUGUUAACUCAGGAGCUUCCGAUCACAUGACUAGUAAUGGUGGACUGUUAACAAACAUUUAGCCAUGUGAGAUUGCUGAUGGAUCAUUAGCAAAAGUAGCAAGAAUUGGAGCAGCUGUUUUGUCCACUGGUUUGACACUAAAAGAUGUCCUAUUUGUGCCUAAUCUAGACUGCAACCUUUUAUCUGUUAGUAAGCUCACUAUUGAUUUGGAGUGUGUUGCAAAAUUCUCAAAAGAUGUAUGUGAAUUUCUGGAUCGGACUUCGGGGAAGAUGAUUGGUAGUGCUGAGGCAUGUUCGGGACUCUACAUUCUUCAAGGGACUGACUCUAGAAAAACUGAAGUAAAAUCCAGCUAUUGUCAUUCUACUUCACCUCUUUGUUUCUCUAGUUUUCAUUCCAAUAAUAGUGCAAUUAUGUAACAUCCCAAAAAUUUGGAGAUACGUAGUAAUUAUUAAUUUUAGUAUUUGAGGAUAUUUUGGAAUAUUUGGAGAUUUUGGAGAAAAUAUUUAUUUAUAAUAUUUUGAGGAAAUGGAAAUUAAGGUAGUUAAUUAUUUUAUUUGAGAACAUUUAUAGAAAUGAGAAAGUAUUAAAAUAAAUUAAAUUGGGAGAUUUCUGAAAAUUUCGGGGUGCAAGUGAAAUAAAUAGAAAUUGGGAUUAAGGGGUGUGUGUGUAUUUCGAAAGUUUGGGGACUGUGGUGUAAUUGUCGAAAGUAGAGCCAGGGUUUCCUUAAAUAUUAUCGCGUGUGCAUAUAGGGUAAGGAGGCUGCUAGCCCAGCUGGUCACGCGUGCGCGUGUGCUGGGUGAGGUCGCGGGAUUGACCCGCGGCCGUGCGCGCGUGAGGUGGGUGGUUUUGCUGGAAUUUUUCCAGCGCAAGAAGCCUCGAAAUGACGUCGUUUCGGGGCAGGGGAGGGUGGCUGCGCAGUAGCCACUGGCCGCGCCACGUGGCGGCCUCUAGGCCGCCCACUGCGCCUUGCGCUCCAAGCAGCGUUUUGCUGCUAUUUUAAAGGCCAAAUUUGGCCAUUUUUAGGCCAAAUCGAGAGGAAGGAGUGAGGAAUUAUGGGAGAAGAAGAUGGAGUUCGGCCAGAAGAAAAAUGGAGGAAAAAGUGAGAAGAAAUCAGGGAUCUUGAGGCUAUUUGGUGUCUAAAAGUAUUCCGGUAAGUGAGUAAAAUUAGCAUAAAUGUUAUAUGUUGAAGUUAUAGAAUUUAUAUUACUAGAUUAUGUUGAUUAUGCGGUUAAAUUUAAUUAAUUUGAAUUGUUAACUUGUUAUUUUAUAUAGAACGUUUACUUCGCAACGGGAGCACAAAAGAGGCAGGAAUCAAUCGAUUUCAGGCAAGCUCCUAACUCUCUCCUCCUGUUCUUUAAUUCCCGUGAAAGUCUUUAUAGUUUUUUGUAUUUUAUUCCCUCCCUCACUGUGAUUCGGUUUCAUGCAUUAAUAAUUAUAAUCCGCGUGGCAACCACCCUAUGACUUAUAAUCAGAGUAAACUUGACCCAAAAUCCAUCAAGUUUAUAUUCCUUGGCUAUUCUCCACACCAACGAGGUUACAAAUGUUAUUCUCCCAGCCUUAAGCAGUUUUUCACAUCCAUGGAUGUUACCUUUUUUUAAACACAACCUUAUUAUCCCAAAACCAAUAUUCAGGGGGAGAAUACUCCAAAUCCUCAAGAAUAUCAGUUUUGGGAUUCUUUUUGGGAUCCUCAACCUAACCACCAGCAACCAGAACCUAGAAUUUCUCUAUCUAACCAACAACAGCAGCCUGAAAAUCAGCCACUGCCACCUGCAAACCCUAUAAAUCCGUCUCCCUCUCCUCAUGAGCUUCAAGUUUAUUCUAGAAAAAGGUCUAAACAGAAAGAAUGUGGGGAACCAACAUGUCUUGAGGCUAACAAAAAUUCUGAUCUAGAUCUGGAACUGUUGGAAAAGGGGAAGACGCCUGCUGGACAAAAUUCUGAAAUUUUAGAAAAUUCAGCCUUGGAUGAGGAUUUACAUUGGCCUAUAGCAUUGAGAAAGGGAGUACGAUCAUGCACUCAACACCCCAUUCACAACUACAUUUCCUACAAAGGUCUCUCACCUAAUUUCAGUGUUUUUAUAUCAAAUAUCAGUAAGGUGCAGGUUCGUAGAACAGUUCAGGAGGCUUUUCAACAUCCUAAGUGGAAUGAGGUAGCUCUUGAGGAAAUGAAGGGUUUGAAGAGAAAUGGGACUUGGGUAAUUACUGAAUUACCUCUUGGAAAAUAUCCUGUAGGCUGCAAGUGGGUAUUUACAAUUAAAUACUGAGAAAAUGGAGAAAUUGACAGGUAUAAAGCUCGUCCAGUGGCAAAAGGGUUCACUCAAUCUUAUGGUAUAGAUUACCAAGAGAAUUUUGCUCCAGUAGCAAAAUUGAAUACAAUCAGUCUUACUAUCCCUAGCUGUAAACCUGGAUUGGCCACUCUACCAAUUAGAUGUGAAGAAUGCUUUUUUAAAUGGAGACCUCGAAGAAGAGAUAUAUAUGGAAAUCCCUUAUGGAUUUGAAACUAAUCUCACAAGGAACAAGGUAUGGAAACUAAAGAAAUCACUAUAUGGGCUCAAAUAGUCUCCUAGAGCCUGGUUCAAGAAAUUUAUAAAGGCAGUCAAGAAAUAUGGAUAUGUUCAAUGUCAGGCAAACCACAUCUUAUUCAUUAAAAACUCCUUGGGAGGUAAAAUAUCCAUACUUAUUGUAUAUGUUGAUGAUAUAAUUGUUACAGGAGAUAAUAUUUCUGAAAUCAGGAAGCUUAAGGAAGUGUUGGCAAAAGAAUUUGAAAUCAAAGAUCUUGGAAGCCUAAGGUAUUUCUUAGGUAUGGAAGUUGCAAGGUCCAAAAAAGAAAUAUCAGUUUCUCAACGAAAGUAUAUCCUAGAUCUCCUUACUGAAACAUGAAUGUUGGGAUGCAAACCAGUUGAUACACCAAUGGAAACCACUUUAAAGCUGGAUGUGGGCAAAGAAAGUGCUCCAUUGGACAAAGGAAAAUAUCAAAGAUUAGUGGGAAAGCUUAUAUACUUGUCUCAUACAAGGCCAGAUAUAGGCUUUCCUGUGAGUGUGGUAAGCCAAUUCAUGAAUGAUCCUAGAGAAGGAUAUUUGGAAGCUGUAUAUCGGAUUCUGAGAUAUCUUAAGAUGACACCAGACAAAGGGUUAAUGUUCAGGAAAACUACUAACCGAGGGGUGAAGAUUUACAGUGAUGUUGAUUGGGCAGGAUCAAUUUGUGAUAGAAGGUCAACCUGUGGAUAUUGCUCAUUUGUUUGGGGAAAUUUAGUUACUUGGCAUAAUAAGAAGCAAUCUGUGGUAUCUAGGAGCAACGCAAAGGCUGAAUUUAGGGCAAUGGCCCAUGGGUUCUGUGAGGGUAUAUGGCUAAAACGAUUGCUACAAGAGUUACAUGUAUCUAUGGCACAACCAAUACAAGUAUUAUGUGACAACCAAUCGGCUAUCAGUAUUGCCAAAAACCCAGUCCACCAUGACCGAACAAAAUAUGUCGAAAUUGACAGGCACUUUAUUAAAGAGAAGUUAGAAGAAGGAGUUUUUCGAAUGAACUAUACUUCCACAAAUAGCCAAGUUGCAGAUAUUCUAACUAAGCCACUAGCAAGAAGAGUGUUUGAUGAGCUAAGUACCAAGCUUGGCCUAAUAAUAUAUUCAGCCUAGCUUGAGGGGGAGUGUAGAAGAUAAAGAAGAAUUCAAAAGAGGACUGCCAUGAAGACUCAUAAAUUAUAGGAGAUAAGAUUUAUAAAGAUAAGAUUAUCUAGUUCUAAUUAUUCUCCUAAAUUUUAGAGAUAGAUUAUUUUUAUUUUAGAUAACAUAAAUAUCUUAUAAAGUAGAUUAGAUUAAACUCCUACAUCAUGUAGAUGUCUGUGUAUAUAUUGAUAUCAUAUCUAAGGGAAAUAAUAACGAUUUAUUCUCUCUAGGAUUAAUUUUCUGUAUUCCCCAAGUUUUAUUAUUUUCCAAAGCCCUCAUCUCCUCAUGCAUAGCUUGUACCAAAUUCUGAUAUUGUAAUGCCUCUUCUACAGUUUUAGGAAUAGCUAUGGAAUCAAGGGAGGUCAAAAAACUCUUGUGGUUUGGGGACAACCUAUGAUAGGAAAUGAAUUGGGCAAUAAGGUGUUGUGUGCAACUUCUAACCCCUUUUCUAAUGGCAAUAGGUAGAUCCAAAUCAAAAUGUAGAGGAUUAGAACAAUUAAUGGAUUGAGAACCAUCAAAGGGCUGAGUGAGUCCAUACCUAAUUGAGGAAUAGAUGAUGGGCCCUGCUUAGCACAUUGAUUGGGUUGUUCCUUCCUCUUGUAUACAAACGGUGAGCCCUUGAACUUGACAGGAGACCUUUUGGUCUAAAGAGAGGGUGGAGAAUCAAGAGAUGUUUGCUGGUUCUCUAUUUCUACUGUAGGUGAAGUUGAGAGAUUAGGAGGAAAACGUGGUUGAUAUGGUUGAGACACUUCCAUGAUAGGUAAAUCAUGAUCACUAAUAGCUGUAAUCUCCCUCUUAGGACUAGAAGUAGAGGACUGAAAAAAAAGGACUGAUUCUCCACAAAUGUGACAUCCUUAGACACAAGAAUUUUUCGAGUAAGAGGGUGGUAGCAUUUGUACCCUUUUUGGGUAGGAGAAUACCACUAAAAGAACACAUCUAAGGGCUCGGGGAUCAAAGUUAUUCCUAUGAUGUUUAGAGACACGAAUUGAAUAUCUUAAGAGGAAGGGAGGUAUGAAGAUCUCCAUACAUCAGAACGUACUAAGAAGAAAGGAAACAAAGAAAGUUUAUUGCUAACAAUAUAAGGAACUCGAUGGUGUUUAGAUAGCUCACACACGCGACGAUGAAAAGAAUUAACAUCAACACCUUUAAAUAAAUUUGGGAACAUGGUUUUUAAUAGAGUAAAAGACGGGUGCCCUAAUCUAAAAUGCUGAAACCAUUCAUUGGAGUGAGUAGAGGUGAGCAUAGAGGAAUGAGUAAGGUUGGAAUGAUAUCCUAUAGGUAGCUCUCUACUUCUUUUGUAGGUAGUACUGACAUAAUAGUAUAGCAAUGGCACCACAACCUGGGGGGGGGGGGGGAUGAAUUGGAUGAUUGAGAAAUUAAAAAACUUUUUAGGAGGUUUUCAAAAAUGAUUCACAAAAAGUGAAAUGAAAAUAUAAACAAUAAAAAUAAAUGCAAGAGGGACACAACGAUAUAUAGUGGUUCAACUAAACCAAGGCUAAUCCAUUACCUUAUCUUCUCACUAAGGAUUUGAAAAUAUCCACUAAAACCUCUUACCACACCUAUUAUGCCCUCUAGCAUAAUCUACUAUGAAUUUACAACCUCCUACUAUUAAAGUAGGCCCUCUAGCUUCAAAAGGUAGGAAAUACAAGAAUGAUAAAAUUGGAGAGAAUUUGAGAGAUGAAUUCGUAGAACCCUAGGACCAAGCACUUGAGCUAAAAGCUCAAACUGUUAGCCGAGGUAGUCUUUUUUUCCUAUGAGUGCUAUGGGCCGCACCAUUACUAGUGCUCGAGCCUUUUGGACCACUUUUGGGUCAAUUUUUGGGUUCCAAGGACUGCCAUAACUCAAUAGAAUCUCUCAGUUAGAAAUGUCUCUCAACAAAAUUACAAAGGCUUGAAUAAAUUGAAACAAAUAAAGUUUAAAGCCUUUUUGAGAGAAAAAUGAAAGCUCAAGCACUAUGAAUACAAUGUAAGCUCAAAUGAAUUUGUUCUUCUUCAUUAGUCAUCUCUAGUGCUUCCUUGAAUGGUAUUUAUAGGCAUCCCAAGAGUUUAAAAAAAAAACUAGCCAUUGGACUUGCAAAACUAGCCAUUAGAGACAAAAACGAUUGAUAGCUUUUAAGGAUCGGUCGAUUGUAUAUAUGAAACAGUCGACAGGAAGUCGACUUUUGAGAUCGAAAGUCAACUUCUGAGGGCAAGAGUCGACUUCUUAGAGCGGGAGUUGACUUCUGCAUAACACACUCUUGGCUAGGCACAUCAUGCUCUCUAUUUGGUCGACUAAAGCUUUGCAAGAGUUGACUUUUGGUCCAAAAACGGUGUCGAUCGAAUGUUGAAAGCGGUUGAUAGAUUGACUUGGCAUUUUAAAGACAUUACUACAUUUUUCAAGCUCUUCAAAAUCAUUUUUGAUACAUCAAAAGUAAAUGACUCUUUUGACACUAAAACUUGAUUUUCCAAAUGCCAUCAAGAUAUUUUGAGAACAAAAUUUUUGGCAUUGGAUGAAAUUGAGUUUCAUUUUGGUGUUUGAAAAGAAAGAUAGAUGCACUAAUCAAAUUCGUUAACAUAAAAUCAAUAUUGUUUUUCAUCAUCAAAAUCAUAACAAAGGCAAAACAUCAAGUAAAACCCAUUCAAUGCCUUAGCAACACCAAUCAUUUUCCCUAUUGUUAGAUCUUAAAACACACAACCAUGAGGUGAGAAAUUCACACUAGAUUUAAGGCUUUGGGUAAGCUUGUCAACAGAGAAUAGAUUGGUGGAAAGGGUUGGUACAUACAUGACAUGUUGGGUAGGUAGAGAUGGCAAAUGGACAUUUCCUUGCCCAACUAUAGGAAUAGUUUGGCCAUUGGCAACAAUGAUUUUUCUGGAGCCAGUUAUUGGUUCAUAGGUUUCAAAAAAUUCCAAAUUAGAUGACAUGUGGUCAGUUGCUCCAGAAUCUAAAAUCCAUAGUUCAUCCUUAGUUGUAUAUGAGGCAAGUGAAAGCUCAGAGUUAAGGCACAUACUUGCUUGAGUUAAGGAGCAUUCACCUUGGAGAGUUUUAAGGAAAGAUUUUAGCUUCCCAAUCUCUUCUGUAUUCAGUUCUCCUAGGUCUAAAGAGGUUGCAGAGUCAGACUUUUCACUUGUCUCCUAUGUUUCUUUAGUGGAGAGAUAGUCUCUUCCCUGAUUCUUUGGCUGCAAGUUCUUGAAACCUCCAAGUUUGCUUAGUACUGUCUCCUUACCAUGCAAUUUAAAACAUGUAUCUCUUGUCUGUCUAGACUUUUUGUGGUAGGAGCACCAAAGCCCCUCCUUUGCUUGCUUUGAUGAGGACUGCUCUCUACCUUGCAAAGGCUUCAUCCAUGCCCCCUGCACCUUAUUAGUCACCACAGCCGAUCCCUCCGUGCCAUGAUUAGAAAACAUGAUUGCCUUUCUAUGUUCUUCACUUCUCACUAUACAAAAGACCUCAUUUAGGGAUGACAUUUUUUCCAUGCUGAGUAUUUGAGCCCGUCCUUAAUUGAACUUAGGGUUGAGACCUGCUAAAAAUUCCACUAUCCUAUCUCUUUCCAGCAUAGAGGUUAAGAUAAUGGCAUCUGCACUACACACCAUUUUUAUAUUUUGAUAGUGAUAUAAUUCCAGCCAAAAACCAGUUUUCUAAAAGGCAGCCACCUAAGCUUCGCCGAGCAGUUAAGCGGCCCUUGGUCGCUGCGAAUACAAGCAAAUCAACACCCUGCGCCGGGCCCGAUCAAUCGAGCCCAAUCGACGCUUAGGGCUAGCAGCCUGCGAUGCUUAACUUUCGAAGACUUACAAACUUACCUUGGCCUCGAUUUCUCUCUUGGCCCUGAUUUGUGUUCGGUAUUUUCCCUUGGCCUCGAUUUCUCUCUCUCGUCACCUUCGCCGCCAAUCGUCUCUUCGAUUUCUCUCUCACAACAACUGGUUUCUAUAGCAGGCUGGGUGGGGGCAAUGGCGGUCCGAGCGGCGUUAGUAGGGGCGAUGACAGUGCGAUCGGCAUUGGCGAGGGGUGGUGGUGUGAUAGUCGAAUGCGGGUUUGAGAGGGAGGGGGAGAGAGAAAGAAUACUAUAAUAGUAUUCAGAAAAGAAUGAAGAAAAUAAAAUAAAAUUUUCUAUAAAGCCUGCCCUUCUUUACAAGUAGCAUAUUCCUAUGUAUUCUAAAGCCAUUAUCUACAAGUAGCAUAUUCUUAUGUAUUCUAAACCCAUUUUCUACAGUUACCCAGGCAUAUUUUCUAGGCCUGUUUGGGCGCUAGGCCCCAGGCUGGCGCUCGACUAGCGUCUAACGUGUUUUAGAACACUCCUAAACACCAUUCAUUCGGUUAUAAUAUUUAGUUACAGUUAAAGCCCCUUGCUUUGUACUAUUGAUUUUAGUUUUAAUCUCAUGCACAAUCGAUGUAUCUUGCACUUUAGAAUAGGUUCUAUUCACGGUUUCCUAGAUUUCUCUAGCGAUAGAUAAAAACAUAUAGUUUUUACUUACCUUUGGAAGCAUAACUCCACAACCAAGACAUCAACAUUGAAUCCUCCACAAUCCAAGCAACAAAGCUUGGAUUCGUCACCUUAGGGGCUCGUCUGGUGAGAUGGGCUAUCUUCCGUCAGCCCUUCAAAAAAGUCCUCACCAAUUGGGACUACUAAAGAUAGUUUCCACCAUUCAAUUUGUAGGAGUGGUGCAUUCCCGGUAGGUCACUAGUCGGAGUUCCACCGACAGUUUGUUCCACAGACAUUGCUUCCCUUGUUGACAUAGGGAAAGCAGUUUCUGAUAUCUCUGACAUUACAAGGGAGAUAUGGCACCAGAAGAAACAAGGAAAAACGGAGGAGGGAUUGAGGCAAUGAAGGGUCACAAGAGGAGGAAAAAUUGGUGCAAUAAAGGCACACUAACAAUCGGAGGUUUUAGGCUUUGAUACUAUGUAGAAAGUAGGCUGAUGAAUGUAGAAUAAAUGAGAAUAAACCUCUUACUUUCAUAACCAUGCACGGUAUUACACUCUCUAUUAGUAGGGAUGAGAGAAUUACAUUUUAGGAAAGCAACAAAGAAUGGAAAGAUACACUAUACAUUAUGCAAGGAAACAAAAGAUACAACACAAAAUUAAGAAAUCUCUAAAAACUGAACAGCUUUCUAAAUAUGAAAGAUAUGAUCAGGGCUGAUUUGGAAAGCUGGUUGUUUAGGAAGGCUGCUAAACUAUCUUAGGAAGGCUGCUGACUUAUCUCAUUCCAUACUUCUCCUGUGAAUAAUUCAACGUUAGUGGUUAUGCAAACUAUACAUUUCUGAGGAAAUGUACCUUGUGAAUAAUUCACUAACACGUCGGAGUCGCCACAGUCGAAGCAAGUUAAGGAACCUGAAUAGUUGAUUUUCAUGCGAUUUCCCAUUGAAGAUCCUGUGUAGGGUCUGAAAUGGCAAAGUUGAGGCUAUGUCCAUUGGGAACCCUAGGUGUGUAACGUACCUGAACAAGAAAUUAAUUAUUCAUUCAGACAGCGUAAGCAAUUAAAUUCUCAAAAAAUAAAAAAAAAGGAUAGAGGCCUUAUGGUGCCAAUGGCAGGCAUUACUUGUUUGCAAUAGUAGAAUAGUGACAACCUAGAGCGAAACUUGAAAUCUCUCUGAGUUUAACUGCGGCUAAGUUUGGUUUAUUCUAUAUUUCAGAAAGUCUUGAAUGUGCUUUAAUUGAGCCAGUUUCUAGUCAAAUUUGUUGAGACUUAGAACUAAGACAAAUUAUGACAAUAGAGAAGAACUCAGACUUGUGAACUGGCAAUGGUUUGAGUGCAUACCUUACUGCUAUUUUCUUGUGAUCAUCUACCAAGAGAUAGGUGGAUUUGUCCAGGUAGGCCACAAAGAAGGUUAGAACAAUGUCAAUGGCAAAAAUGGCAUCCACAGCCAAGUCAAGGGGCAGGAGAGCCCCAGUUCCCACCUUCUUAAAAGCAAGCUCAAACGGGGAUGACCAUGCAGAAUACACCACCAGCACCACCAGAAAGAUUGAAGCAAAGAUUUGGAGAAGAAAACUUCACAAGAUAUAGCAUUAGUUCCGACCAAAUCUUUGAUCAAGUGUUUAUGACGACUAUUUUUGCUGGGAGAAGAAACUUCACCGGUAUCUACGAUCAUAUGGGGCAAUAAUGUAUUUUCU